ensembl:miRNA MIR484 microRNA 484
AGCCUCGUCAGGCUCAGUCCCCUCCCGAUAAACCCCUAAAUAGGGACUUUCCCGGGGGGUGACCCUGGCUUUUUUGGCG